rnacentral:rRNA from 1 species
GGGGAAUAUUGGACAAUGGGGGCAACCCUGAUCCAGCAAUGCCGCGUGUGUGAAGAAGGCCUUCGGGUUGUAAAGCACUUUUGGCAGGGAGGAAGUCAUGUAUUUUAAGAGAUAGCAUGAUUGACUGUACCUGCAGAAUAAGCACCGGCUAACUCUGUGCCAGCAGCCGCGGUAAUACAGAGGGUGCGAGCGUUAAUCGGAUUUACUGGGCGUAAAGGGCGCGUAGGCGGUUCCGUAAGUGAGAUGUGAAAUCCCUGGGCUUAACCUAGGAACUGCAUCUCAUACUGCGAAGCUAGAGUAUUGUAGAGGGUAGUGGAAUUUCCGGUGUAGCGGUGAAAUGCGUAGAGAUCGGAAGGAACACCAGUGGCGAAGGCGGCUACCUGGACAAAUACUGACGCUGAUGCGCGAGAGCGUGGGGAGCAAA